CUUACUCCUAUUUUAUGAUUUUGAGGUUGGUUGCUGAGAUGUGGUAUUAGUUUGCUUGUGGUUUUGUAUUAUAGGCUAAUGGCACUCAAGACUUCCAUGAUAAACUGAUAUUUACAGAUUGAGAAACCCAUACUAUUGGUUAUAAUUCCAAAAAUGUGCUUGAAAAUGCCUUAGGUCAGGUGCAUAUCGUUAUCCUUGUGCACUUGGUUAUGAGGUUGAUGUAGUGUCCCUCCUUAACAUAUUGAAGUUGUGGGUUUAUUUAUUUAUUUAUUUUUUUGUCUAUAAGUGAUAAUCGCUGCCCCCACACCCUUUCUGUGAAUUUCAUGUAACAAUUGGUGUAUUACUAGAGUGGAUAUCACGAUGGUCUCAUAGCAAGAGAAGAAGCUGUAGCGCAAGAGGGAUUUAAUAUUGGCUUUAAGGAAUCAGUCCUUGUUGGGUACAAAUGGGGUCUAGUUAGAGGUGAUACUAGUUCCUGAGGACUUGAAAGAGAGCAUUUAAAUUCUCAAGAUGUGGCAAGGGAUUGGAAUGAGCUAGGGGUGACAAACUGUGGAAAUGAGACAAAACUCCUAAGUGGAUCAGUCUAUCGAGGCGGAUUGCCCAAGGAAUUAUAUGUGGUGAAAGAUGUAUUAACUGGAAUGAGAAAAUAUGUUCAUCCACUGGACAUAACAACUCUAUCACAACUCAGAAAAGAUGCACAUCCUGGCUUUUAUAAUGGCUUUAGGCGCAUGGACUGUAACCAUUGGUGUACUGCUGGACUUCUAGAUACUUGGAAUCAAAUUUUUAUGCAUUUUUCA